GUUGGCCUUUAUCAAAGUUGCAGCAACUUCUACAUAGCAGCUGUGAUAAAAGAGGACCCCAAAGUGACAGUUUUUCUUGAAGGUCGCCAUUCUGUUUGUAGUCACUUAUCUGCAACAUUUCGGUAAAAGACUACC